AGGGGUAUCGCCAAGCGGUAAGGCAACGGACUCUGACUCCGUCAUGCGCAGGUUCGAAUCCUGCUACCCCUGCCA
rnacentral:tRNA from 1 species